UGGGGAAUCUUGCACAAUGGGGGAAACCCUGAUGCAGCGACGCCGCGUGAGCGAUGAAGGUUUUCGAAUCGUAAAGCUCUGUCCUAUGGGAAGAUAAUGACGGUACCAUGGGAGGAAGCCCCGGCUAACUACGUGCCAGCAGCCGCGGUAAUACGUAGGGGGCGAGCGUUGUCCGGAAUUACUGGGCGUAAAGGGUUCGCAGGCGGCAUGGCAAGUCCGAUGUAAAAGGCGAAGGCUCAACCUUCGUAAGCAUCGGAAACUGUCAAGCUUGCGUGAAGGAGAGGCAAGUGGCAUUCCUAGUGUAGCGGUGGAAUGCGUAGAUAUUAGGAGGAAUACCGGUGGCGAAGGCGACUUGCUGGACUUCAACUGACGCUGAGGAACGAAAGCGUGGGUAGCAAACAGG
rnacentral:rRNA from 1 species